UACGAGGCAAAAACGGCAUCCGGCGGGAAUGGAGCGUAGGUGGCUUCUGGACCUGUCUGGCUCACCUCCGAGGCGAUCGCCCAGCAGCUGCGUGCGGGGAGUCCCACACCUCCUCCGGGUCCACAGAGCGGGAAACCGAAUCCCGACGGGCCCUCCGCAGCGCCGCGCCCCCGCCCCGCCGCCAACCUGCUUCCGGAGCGCGCGCAACGCAGCUUCGCUGCCCCGCACACAGGUCCGCCUCCUCUCCCCUUUCCUCCGGGAAGUCUUCGGUUCCGAUGGCCCCCAGCCUGGGGCCGCAGGCGGCGAGGACCCGCGCAUCCGCCGGAUCUCAGGUGGGAAGCGGCAGGAACGCACCGUCCGGCGCUCUGCUCCGCCUGAUGCAGGCUGGAGCACGCGCACAAGUGCAGAGGUCCAGUCACGGAGCUGAAUCACGAAGCAGGAAAGGAGAGGGGACGUCUUUGGCUUGGAGAGCAGCACGACGAAGCCACGAGUGACUCAUCUUCAGAACAGCUCUGGAGUUGCUCAUCUGGAAUAACUCGAGAAAAAAAAAAACCCAAACCUUGUCAUGGUCAUCACUGAAGCAAUCGAUCUUACGGCACAAUCAUCCCAGGACAGUUAAAACUUAAAAUGUGACAUGAAACCAGAAGAAUUUUAGAAUCACAAGGUGUGAAGAUUUUUACACUUCUGAUGUGGAAAAGGUAUUUCUAAGCAUGACGUCAAUGGCAAAAAGCAUUAAGAAAAUGACCAAUAGAACUGGUUUCUAAGAAAAUCUUAAAACUUUAAAAAAAGAUUUUAUUUAUUGGAGAUAGAGCACAAGCAGGGGGAGCAGCAGAGAGAGAGGAGGAAGCAGGCUCCCCGCUGAGCAGGGGGUGCAAUGCAGGGCUCGAUCCCAGGACCCUGGGAUCACGACCCAAGCCAAAGGCAGAGGCUUCACUGACUGAGCCCCCCCAGGCGUCCCAAGCUUAAAACUUUUCUAUGACCAAUGAUUCCCCAAAAUAGUGACGUAAAUUAGGAAAUAAACAAAGUGCUUUCACAAUUGCAAAAUGAACAAGUCAUUUAAGGACAGUUCAUAAAGCAAUGUCCAAUAAGCAUAAACAUGUUUGACCUCACCAAUCAAAGAAAUACAAACGAAAAUGAUGAGAUAUAAUUUUUUACCAUUAAAAUGGCAAAGCUUACAUUUAUGGAUAAGGCCACUGUUGGCAAGUAUGUGCACAAACCUGUACUCUCGCCCAUUCUUAGGGGAAAUAUAAUGGGAUUAACUUUCUGGAUGGCUAUUUUCUAAAUAUAAAGAAAUUUUAUUUAUUUUUAAAAUUGCACUUAAGUUUGAGUCAGUUCAUGGAAAAAACGUCUUGGAUGAUAUAAACUUCUAUGUGUAUUCCCCAUGCUCUUCUGCCUUUCUUGAAAUUUCUUUAUUUACUUAAUAAAGAUUUAAUUUAUGAGAGAGAGGAAAAAAACACUCUU